rnacentral:lncRNA from 1 species
GCAGUCCGCUUGCUCGGCCGCAGCGCCUUGCCUUAGAGCAGCUGAUCCGCUGACAUCACCCUGGGAUGGGGCUCUUCCCUGACUGACAGCUCCUCGCACAGCGCGGAAAGCGGAAGCUCCCUAAGCGAAGUCGUGGCUGCUCUUGAAUCCCAACGCCGUCGGGCAGUGUUGUUUUCCCAACGCCGCCGCGCUUGUCGGGGCCUGUUUCGGCGCGAGGAUGACUCUGUUCCCCGGUCAAACCCUUGUGCGCCUUGUGGACUCCAUAAGCCGCGCGGAUAACGACAAAUAGCUCGUUCCCAAUGCGAGAAAUAAAUACCGAUAAAUCUGGACCACAGAUCAGUAUUGCCUCCCCUCUGUUUUGUAAAGACAUGUAGCAAUGCUGGUGAAGUUUAAAUGCAAGUUAGUAAUUCUACAGACAGUUCUAGAUGCUUUUAUGCAACAAUUGAUAUUAAAGUACAGAAACAUCAACCUGACAACAAAGACAUCUACCAAGUGGCAUACUUUCAGAGACAGAAGACUUGCCUGCUAAAACCUGGAAAAUUGUGUGCAACAUCUCCACCUGCUGGCAUCUCCAAUUUAAAAACAAUUGUACAGAGCUUUUAUCAUGAUUCCUUAAAAAAAUCUUACCUAAGAAGUACAUCGAAUAUAACUUACUUCAUGUAAGAUGUAAU